rnacentral:rRNA from 1 species
GACGAACGCUGGCGGCGUGCUUAACUCAUGCACGUCGAACGGAAAGGCCCUGCUUUUGUGGGGUGCUCGAGUGGCGAACGGGUGAGUAACACGUGAGUAACCUGCCCUUGACUUUGGGAUAACUUCAGGAAACUGGGGCUAAUACCGGAUAGGAGCUCCUGCUGCAUGGUGGGGGUUGGAAAGUUUCGGCGGUUGGGGAUGGACUCGCGGCUUAUCAGCUUGUUGGUGGGGUAGUGGCUUACCAAGGCUUUGACGGGUAGCCGGCCUGAGAGGGUGACCGGCCACAUUGGGACUGAGAUACGGCCCAGACUCCUACGGGAGGCAGCAGUGGGGAAUAUUGCACAAUGGGCGGAAGCCUGAUGCAGCAACGCCGCGUGCGGGAUGACGGCCUUCGGGUUGUAAACCGCUUUCGCCUGUGACGAAGCGUGAGUGACGGUAAUGUGUAAAGAAGCACCGGCUAACUACGUG